GUGUUCCUACGGGAGGCAGCAGUGGGGGAUAUUGCACAAUGGGGGGAACCCUGAUGCAGCGACGCCGCGUGGGUGAAGAAGCGCCUCGGCGCGUAAAGCCCUGUCAGCAGGGAAGAAAAUGACGGUACCUGAAGAAGAAGCCCCGGCUAACUACGUGCCAGCAGCCGCGGUAAUACGUAGGGGGCAAGCGUUAUCCGGAUUUACUGGGUGUAAAGGGCGUGUAGGCGGGCAAGCAAGUCAGAUGUGAAAACCCUGGGCUCAACC
rnacentral:rRNA from 1 species